rnacentral:siRNA from 1 species
GAUAUGAGUCAUUCCACCUAUUAA